rnacentral:rRNA from 1 species
AGAGGGUUUGNAUCCUGGGCUCAGAUUGAACGCUGGCGGCAGGCUUAACACAUGCAAGUCGAGCGGGGAAAGGUAGCUUGCUACUUUACCUAGCGGCGGACGGGUGAGUAAUGCUUAGGAAUCUGCCUAUUAGUGGGGGACAACAUCUCGAAAGGGAUGCUAAUACCGCAUACGUCCUAUGGGAGAAAGCAGGGGACCUUCGGGCCUUGCGCUAAUAGAUGAGCCUAAGUCGGAUUAGCUAGUUGGUGGGGUAAAGGCCUACCAAGGCGACGAUCUGUAGCGGGUCUGAGAGGAUGAUCCGCCACACUGGGACUGAGACACGGCCCAGACUCCUACGGGAGGCAGCAGUGGGGAAUAUUGGACAAUGGGGGGAACCCUGAUCCAGCCAUGCCGCGUGUGUGAAGAAGGCCUUUUGGUUGUAAAGCACUUUAAGCGAGGAGGAGGCUACCGAGAUUAAUACUCUUGGAUAGUGGACGUUNCUCGCAGAAUAAGCACCGGCUAACUCUGUGCCAGCAGCCGCGGUAAUACAGAGGGUGCAAGCGUUAUCGGAUU